AAGAAAGCAUCCGGGUGUUCGGCGGAUCUGCGUGCCCAUCGGAAGCAUGCCUCUCGCGGCUGUCUGAAGGGGGCACGCGGAUUUGUUGUUCUGAGAAAUACCGGUGAACUUGAUCUGGAUAAUACCAGCGAAAGGAGUUGCUUCUUGGAAACCU
rnacentral:ncRNA from 13 species